UACGUAGGUGGCAAGCGUUAUCCGGAAUUAUUGGGCGUAAAGAGUACGUAGGUGGCAACCUAAGCGCAGGGUUUAAGGCAAUGGCUCAACCAUUGUUCGCCCUGCGAACUGGGAUGCUUGAGUGCAGGAGAGGAAAGCGGAAUUCCUAGUGUAGCGGUGAAAUGCGUAGAUAUUAGGAGGAACACCAGUGGCGAAGGCGGCUUUCUGGACUGUAACUGACACUGAGGUACGAAAGCGUGGGGAGCAAACAGG
rnacentral:rRNA from 1 species